ACGGGAGGCAGCAGUGGGGAAUAUUGGACAAUGGGCGAAAGCCUGAUCCAGCGACGCCGCGUGAGUGAAGAAGUAUUUCGGUAUGUAAAGCUCUAUCAGCAGGGAAGAUAAUGACGGUACCUGACUAAGAAGCCCCGGCUAACUACGUGCCAGCAGCCGCGGUAAUACGUAGGGGGCAAGCGUUAUCCGGAUUUACUGGGUGUAAAGGGAGCGUAGAUGGUAUGGCAAGCCUGAUGUGAAAACCCAGGGCUCAACCCUGGGACUGCAUUGGAAACUGUCAAACUAGAGUGCAGGAGAGGUAAGUGGAAUUCCUAGUGUAGCGGUGAAAUGCGUAGAUAUUAGGAGGAACACCAGUGGCGAAGGCGGCUUGCUGGACGACAACUGACGCUGAGGCGCGAAAGCGUGGGGAGCAAACAGGAUUAGAUACCCUGGUA
rnacentral:rRNA from 1 species